CCACUCUCUCCUCUGCCUUCCCCAAGCCAGAAGUGAAGAUUCCAGGCAGAUCUUCAAGCUUCUGAUUCUCUCUUAGAAUUCUCAGUUUUUUCUUCUUCUUGGCCUUCCCCCACUCUCUUCAGCUAGUCUCUCUCAGAGACUGUUCUCUCCUUGAUGAAGAAUGUCUCUUCUCCCAUCUUACAUGAUACGAGGCCAUUUGACAUCAUCAAAGUCCUUUGGUACUAAAUCACUGGAUUUUAGUUUCAGAGAACAGAUGAGGAUCUUUGAAAUUACUAUGCAUUCACCAGAUAAAGCCUGAAAUGCCAGAGGAUGAAUCCAUGACAGAAAAGUUCAUUCUCCAACUUGGGUGCCAGAGGGGAGAAAGUUCUUCUGGUCUUCUUGGGUUGCAACUAAUUUCUGGAGAUCUCAGGUGGAGAGGAUCACUAGCACACACCAACACUUGUGGCUUCAAAGGAUAAAGAGAUCUUGAUCACAGUUUCAAGGCAGAAAAGAGAGAUUGGGGCUACUCACAGAACAGAGCACAGCCUGGAAUAGUAUUAAACACAUCUCUCCUUACAUCAAACCACCUUGGAGAAUUGAAAACUUAUAGAUCCUCAAAAGUUAAAAACAAAAGUUAGUUGCAUAAAGAACUUGAAGCUUAAAACAGUGCUCCCUUCACCACAGCAACAGAGUCCAAAAUUGACUAUUUUAAUUAAAAUGAAACAAAAAGGCUGGAAAAUGAGCAUAAGAUAAAAAAGAAAAAAGAAAAUGUAGGGAGUAAUUUUGGUGACAGAGAAGACCAAAAUAGAAACUUGGAAGAAGACAUCAAAGUCAAUAUUCUUUGGAUGCAAAGACUCCAAGAAAAAUAGGAAUUUCUCUCAAGCCCAAGAAGAAUUAAUGGAGGAGUUCAAAAGUGAUUUUAGAAAUAAAAUAAGAGAAGUAGAAGAAAAAUUGGAAAAAGAAAUGAGAGUGAUACAGGAAAAUAAUGAACAAAAGAGCCAACAGCUUGGUAAAGGAGGCAUACAAAAAAUACUGAAGAAGGAAGAAAAUAAAACCUUAGAAAACAGAUCAGUCCAAUUAGUGAAAGGAAUACAAAAAUCCAAUGAGGAGAACUCUUUUAGAAGCAGAAGUAGCCAAAUGAAAAAAAAAAACCAUACAUAAAAAUCCACUGAAGAGAAGAACUUCUUAAAAGGUAGAAUUGGCUAUAUGGUAAAAAAAAAGAGGUACAAAAAUUCACUGAGGAAAAGAACUUCCUGAAAAGUAGAGCUAAACAAAUGGAAAAGGAGGUACAAAACCUCACUUAAGAAAAUCGUGUCUUAAAAAUUUGAAUUGGACAAGUGGAAGCUUAUGACUACCUGAGAUAUCAAGAAAUAAUAAAGUCAAAAUAAUGAAAAAAGAAAAUGUGAAACAUUCCAUUAGGAAAACAACUGACUUUGAAAAUAAAUCCAGUAGAGAUAAUCUAAGAAUUAUUGGACUUACUAAAAGCCAUGAUGAAAAGAAGAGCUUAGACAUCAUCUUUCAAGAAAUGAUCAAGGAAAACUGCCCUGAUAUGCUGGAGUCAUAAAGUAAAAUAGAAAUUAGAUUCCAAGGAUAUUGGAUAUCCAAAGGAUAACUCCCAAGGACAUUAUAGCCAAAUUCCAGAACUUCCAGGUCAAGAAAAAAAUAUUCAAGCAGCCAAAAAGAAACAAUUCAAAUAUUGUGAAACCACAGUCAGGAUAACACGGGAUUUAGCAACUUUGUAACAAAUAAAAGGGUGGUCUGGCCAGAGUUAUAAUAAAUUUUUGAAAGAGAGAGUUGGGGGGGGGAGAGAGAUUUCAGCAAAUGUGGUCACCUCCAUGUUGCACUGCCACUUAUCCACAGUCAGCCCAAGGAGUCAGUCUGUUCAUGAGCAGAAAUAAAGAGAGCUCUCUCCUUCCCACAUUCCCAUUUUAAACCCCACUAGCUCCUCCCUCAGUGGCAGACAUUGCACGUUGAUUCUCACAGUGAUACUGACUCUCACAGUGAUGCAGAUGCUCACACUGAUUCCAGGGGAUGCUAGGUCAUUAAGAUAUGUCAUUACUCUAUAAUACCCACCACUGGUGUGCUGCAGGAUGGAGGUAUUUUACUUCACACAGAUUUUACAAUAAAGGAUAACAGGGCCUGGAAUACAAUAUUCCAGAGGGCAAAAGUGCUAGUAUUUCAACCAAGAAUCAAUUACCAAAAAAAAAAAAAACUGAACAUAAUCCUUCAGAGAGAAAAAAAUGGAUAUUCAAUGAAAUAAAGGACUUUCAAGAAAUUCUGAUGAAAAGACCAGUGCUGAAUGGAAAAUUUGAUUUUCAAAUACAAGACUUAAGAAAAGCAUAAAAAGGUAAAUAAGAACAAGAAAUCAAAAGAUAUUCACAAAGGAUAAACUGUUUAUAUACCUACAUGGGAAGAUGAUUCUGUCAUUCCUAAGAACCUUAUCAUUAUUAGGAGCAGCUGAAAGGAGUAGAUAGAUUAGAUAGAUAGAUAGAUAGAUAGAUAGAUAGAUAGAUAGAUAGAUAGGGGGCAAAAGUGCAAAUUCAAUAUGAUGGGAUGAUAUUAAAAAAUAAAAUUUAAUGUAUUAGAUAGAUAGAUAGAUAGAUAGAUAGAUAGAUAGAUAGAUAGAUAGAUAGAUAGAUAGAUGAGGGAAGCUAGAUGAUGGAAUAAAUAGACUACUAGGUCUGGAGUCAGGAAGACCUAAUUAUAAAUCUGGCCUCAGACACUAGCUGUGUGACCCUGGUCCAGUCACAUAAUCCCAUUUGCCUUAGUUUCUUCAUUUAUAAAAUGAGAAAAGGAAAUAGCAAAACACUCCAAUAUUUUUACCAAGAAAAAAGCCAAAUAAGGUAAAGUGACUAAACAACAAGAACAAUGACAUUAGAUAUAUAGAAUUAUAUUAUUAGCAGCAGAUGAAAGGAGUAUACAUAGAUGGGGGCAAAAGUGCAAGUAGAGUAUGAUAGGAUGAUAUUAAAAAUAAAAUUUAAUGCAUUACAUAUAGAUUUAGAUAUAUGAGAGAAGCUCAGUGAUGGAGUAAAUAGAUAUAUAGAAAAUAAAUGCAGAUACAAAAUAGAUACUAGGUGAUGGAGAGCAAGGGAAAGGAGAAAGAAGUAAGAGCAAAUGAGGACCAGAAAAAUCGAAAGUAUAAGGUGUCACUUGAGCUAAUCCAUAAAGGAAAACAGGAAUUCUAAAAGACAGAUAUAAAAUGGGAGAAGAUUCCAGGCAUGGAUGACAGAGAAACGACAUAAAGGCUGGAAAAUGCAUGGAAGGAAGUAAUGUACCAGGUAUAGAAAGUAUGGUUAGGUCCAGAGUCAGUUUAGGGAGGACCUUAAAGGUAAAGCUGAGAAAUUAGGUUGCUGCUGGUGGCAAAGUGAUUGAAAAGGAAACAGUCAAGAAAUCUAGAGAGUGGGUCAUGUUGGGAGUGAUGUGAGCAGGACCAGAGACCCUCUUGAAAUGAAGUCAAUAGUCAGUAGACCUUGACCAUGACCACAGUCCAUCCAACAACAGGGAGAGCCAAACAAUUCAUAUUGAGAGCAGACCCUAUUGCCAAACAAAGGCUCACACAUGUUCACUAUAGCUCUAAACCUUGAAGGAUCAUUGGAGUCCAGUUAGUUUAAAUCUCUCAUUUUGCAGAUUAGGAAAUGGAGGCCCACAAAGAAAAAGUGACUUGAUCUAAAUGACAAAAAAUAGAAUCCAUGUCAUCUAACUCCAAAGCCAGCAUUCUUUCAACUGUACCAGUUGACUCUCAAAUUUCCUGCAAAAAAACUAAUAACAAUUACAAAUCCAACUGCUUAAGUAGUAAAUAAGUUUCAAAAUUGAACUUGAAAAAGAAAUUGCUAUAUUCUCCCCUACUGGGAUCUUUUUUUUUUUGGUCCUAUGGGUCAAAACAGGUCUAGAGUGAAAUGAAACACUAUCCAGGAAUGUUUAGCAACAUCAUUUACCAAUUCCAAGCAGCAGAGAAGAAGAGAAUCCUCAGUUGCAAAUACAGGGGAUUUUAAAUCUGGACAGAGUACAAUUACUCAAACUGAAGCCCAGCCAAGGCUAACUAACACCUCAACGCUUAGGAGAGAUUGCCCAGUGACCUUCACUGGCUGUCAGUCAUCAGAGUUCUGAGCUUCACAUGGCAUUUGAAAGAUAGCACCUCUAAUGGAGUAAAACAACUGUCCUAUGUAAAAAAAAAAA